rnacentral:rRNA from 1 species
UCAGCAUGGCGCUUAUAUCUAGGGCUACACACAUGGCGUAAUGGGUGGGACAACGGGAGUGCCAAGGCGCGAGCCGGAGCUAAUCCUUAUAAACCCAUCCUCAGUUUGGAUUGCAGGCUGCAAUUCGCCUGCAUGAAAGGGAGUUGAUAGUAAUCGCGGAUCAGCAUCACCGCGGUGAAUACGUUCUCGUUUCUU